GCUCCGUGGCACACGGGACCCUCCCGGACCGGGGCACAAACCCUCAUCCCCUGCACCGGCAGGCGGACUCCCAACCACUGCACCACCAGGGAAGCCCUAUCUUUCUUUUUUAAAAUGUUAUCAUCAGGGCUUCUCCGGUGGCACAGUAGUUAAGAAUCCACCUGCCAAUGCAGGGGACAUGGGUUUGAUCCCUGGUCUAGGAAGAUCCCACAUGCCUCGGAGCAACUAAGCCCCUCGUGCACCACAACUACUGAGCCUGCGCCCUAGAGCCUGUGUGCCACAACUACUGAGCCCGUGAGCCACAACUACUGAAGCCCACGCACCUAGAGGCUGUGCUCCACAACAAGAGAAGCCAUGGCAAUGAGAAGUCUGUGCACCGCAACGAAGAGUAGCCCAUGCUCGCCGCAGCCAGAGAAAGCCUGCGUGUAGCAACAAAGCCAUAAAUAACACAGCCAUAAAUAAAUAAAUGUAUUUUUUAAAAAAUCAGUACACGGACACAUUAUAAUAUUCAAUAUGUGGUACCACUGAAUUUAGGAAAAUGCUCUACUAUUUUACAUGUGAAAGUGAAAUUAAUACUAAAGGUAUUAUAACAGAAAGGUGGCAAUCAGGAGAAAGAAUUUCACAUAUAACCCGUACUUCAAUGUUCCCUUCCAAGACUACUCUAGUACUACAGAAAGUAACCUGUAUUUAUAGCAGGAAAAUCAGGUAUAAGGAAGUAACUCUAUAACACUAAAAUAAUAAAACUCUAGCCCUAACCUCCCACCUGGGCUUGUUUCCACUGACAGCAUCUCAUCAGCACUUCAAAUGCAGCACAUCCAAAACCACAUUCAAGAGCUUGCCUCUCAGACUGACUUUCCAUUUUUCACUCUUCUGUACUGAAGGGGCCUCUUACCAUAAAUAGCUAUUUUUGUAUUCUAAAAACUAUGACAUAUUUUAAAAGCCUUCUCAAAGCUGCUCCUCAUUCUUCUGUUAACAUUAAUGGUACCCUAAUCCUCCCAAGCGGCCAGCUGAAAUCUUUGCUCUGACUGUCCUAACCCUUACCUCAUCCUAUAUCACAUCCUAGCAAUUUCACCUAUGAAUUCUUUUCCAUCCAGCUACUUCUCCCCAUCCCCACUGCUCCUAACCUGCUUCAGGGCUGUACUUAACCUUUAAAAGGGCCCCCAACUGAUCUGCAUGGAAUAUCUAUGCAGGAGAAUUAAGUUUUCAUAAUCACGAGAGUUCUCAGAGAAUAAAUACCAACACCAAGUAUGCUGCAAAUCUUUUUCUUGCCUGGCUAACUCCAACCCUUGGGCCCCCUUUAGAUUUCAUCAGGCUUCUUUUCCAGAAGGGAUACUCUGAACCUCUCCUGCAAUGGUCAGGCGUCUCGAUUUGCUCACCCAGCAAUGACCAGUUCGAUGAAUUCUGUGGCACUCUGCGCUACCUACACUAUCUCAGCGACUACUCCACUAUACUUGAAUUGCCUAUGUGGUGGAACUCUACGCUCGGCGAUGGCAGGACUGUUACUCGCGGCUUAACCCCAGAGCUGGCACACGGUAAGCGUUUUCAAUCAUGAAGGUAAAAAUGAAACCAUCACAGUCUUGGGAGGCAAAAAAUU